rnacentral:lncRNA from 1 species
GACGCUGCAGGGUCCAAGGCCAUUCAGGGCAUGGCAUGUCGGAGGAGAAUCCGCCUUGGAAUAAAUCACAUGGCCUGAUCUUGGUGGCUCACUGAAGCACACAGUGAGGCUACGUCACACCUGUUAUCCCAGAGUUUAGAAAGAUGAGGCGGGAAGAUGGCGAACUCAAGACUAGUGUGAGCGGUACCACGAGUUCUCAGCUAGAACAAACCCAACAGCUCGGCGGUUAAGAUCACACACUGCUCCUGUGGAGAACCCAAGUUCUAGUCCCAGCACCCACAAUGGGUGGCUUACACAUACCCGUAACUCCAGCUCCUCGGGACCAGUGUACGGACACUUCCUUGUCCGUAUGUAUAAUUAGAACUUAAUAAAAUAAAACAAACAACCAAGAGCUGA